UACAGAGGUCCCAAGCGUUGUUCGGAUUCAUUGGGCGUAAAGGGUGUGUAGGUUGCGCCGUAAGUCGGGUGUGAAAUUUCGGAGCUUAACUCCGAACCUGCAUUCGAUACUGCGGUGCUUGAGGACUGGAGAGGAGACUGGAAUUCAUGGUGUAGCAGUGAAAUGCGUAGAGAUCAUGAGGAAGACCAGUGGCGAAGGCGGGUCUCUGGACAGUUCCUGACACUGAGACACGAAGGCCAGGGGAGCAAACGGG
rnacentral:rRNA from 1 species